AUUGAACGCUGGCGGCAUGCCUUACACAUGCAAGUCGAACGGCAGCACGGACUUUGGUCUGGUGGCGAGUGGCGAACGGGUGAGUAAUGUAUCGGAACGUACCUUUCAGUGGGGGAUAACGUAGCGAAAGUUACGCUAAUACCGCACAUUCUGUGAGCAGGAAAGCAGGGGAUCGCAAGACCUUGCGCUGAUUGAGCGGCCGAUAUCAGAUUAGCUAGUUGGUGGGGUAAAGGCCUACCAAGGCGACGAUCUGUAGCGGGUCUGAGAGGAUGAUCCGCCACACUGGAACUGAGACACGGUCCAGACUCCUACGGGAGGCAGCAGUGGGGAAUUUUGGACAAUGGGCGCAAGCCUGAUCCAGCCAUGCCGCGUGAGUGAAGAAGGCCUUCGGGUUGUAAAGCUCUUUCAGCCGGGAAGAAAUCGCACAGGUUAAUACCCUGUGUGGAUGACGGUACCGGAAUAAGAAGCACCGGCUAACUACGUG
rnacentral:rRNA from 1 species